CUGGGCUCGGAGCUCAGAGAUGACUCAGAUGGGUCUCUGUCUUUGAGGAAUCCAUCUGUAAGACGACAGGGGAAGACAGAGUCACAUAUAUACGAGUGUAGUAACGAGGUCUAAAACCCGUGCUGGGAGCUGGUAGGAGCACCGAGGAGGAGUGGUCAGUUCAUCAUGCAGUGUCUGAGUCUAAAAGAUGAAGAGGUAGGACUGAAUAGGGGAUGGGGUUGGGGGUAAGAGUAGGAGUUCCCAGCAAAAGGAACAGCUUUUGAAAAGGCCCAGAGUUGGAAGAGGGCAUGGCUUGGUCGGGAAAUGCCAGUCAAGUGUCCUAUGUGAGACGAAGCUGGAGAGGUAAGCGGGAGCCUUAGGAAAGCCCUUGAAUUCCAGGCUAAGGAGCAGGGACUUUGACCCAUAUGUAAUGGGAGUGGCAUGUAUGGCAGAGCAAAGGCCAGGGAAGGAGAAGAUGGGAUGCACAUUUGGAAAGAUCUUUGAGAUCUUGUACUGGAGAGGGUGGAAAGACACUAAGAUAGGGCAGUUGAAAGGCUAUUGCUAUAGGCUAGACAAUCUUAAGAAAAAUCCACCCAAUUCUGUUAUUUUACAGAUAUACAGUCUGAGGCCCAGAGAGGUAAAGUGACUUGCUCAAGGUCACCCAGCAAGAUCAAUAGCAAAGUUAAGGCUUCAACCUGUGGGUCCUGCCUCCCAGCACAGGCUUCCUCCACUGCCCCAGGAUCCUCAGGAGGAGAGGCAGCCCACCAAGAUCUCCCUGUUGUCCUUCGCCUCUGAAUCUGUCACGUGCUCUGCCCCUACUGCAGACCAGCCUGUUAGGGAAGUGGCUGGGAAGUGUUCCCAGAGGACAGGGCGGGGAGCAUGGCUGGUCUGCUUCGGAGAUGCUGCUGCUGCUGCUCCUCCUCCGCACCAAUCAGGGAGCUUUCUAGCCACAGGAGGAAGCCAGGAGCCAGGGGUUGGGGCUGCAGUGAUUUAUGACUGCACAGAAACAGCAGGACACUAGUGUCUCCGGCUGGCCUGCUUGUCCGCCAACUCGGCCUGGAGAGGAUGCAUCUAAAGGUCAUAUCCCCCGGCACUGGAGAUGGGGCUAAGGGUUAGCCAUGCAGAGUGCCUGCCCUUGUGUCAGACCGGUCACCAGAGGGCAAGGCCCCAUCUUUCCUGAGCAGAUGCCAAGGGGUAGAUUCUCAUAGCCUGGGCAGGAAAGGGUGCCCUUGUGACUGCAAGUCCAGAAGAUCUGCCUGGGUUUGGAUUCAGGCUCUAUCGGUCAUUGAUGUGUGACCUUUGGCUGGUCACACAGCUGAGAUUGCUGUGUCUCAGCUUCCAAGUCUAAAAAACAGGGAUGAUUCAGAGCCUCUCAACUCUGGAGCUGAACCAUCUCCCAGGUCUGCAGGUAUAGAUUCCCUGUUUCCACAGCUAAAGAAUGCAGGUCGCCUUCCAUUUCAGAAGAGGAACAGGCUGCAUCUAGAGCCUUGUCACAGCUAGGCGGAGCACUUAGCGCUCACUUGGUUGAAUUUCUCACUUCAAAGAUGGGGAAAUUAAGACUCAGAGAGGGCAUAGGCGAAUGGAGCUGGGGGCCAGGCAGAAGCCAGAACACUAGUUCUUUACCUCCCUGCUCCAGGUUUCUUUCAGCAGUACCCAGGCGUGGAGGAGAAAGCCAGACUAUUAAGUCAUUUGCUCUGUGUAAAGUCACCUUGCCUCUGAAGCAGCCCUCUGAACAGCCAGGGGCCGCUGGGCAGCUGCAGCUUUAAGCCUAGAGUCUUAAAAAAAAAAAAACAACAAAAAACAGGAAAGGAAGGAAGGGCCAACUCUACCCCUGCACCGUUGGAGAGAAGCCCCGCCGCUGUGGAGACUGCAGAUGUUAUUCCUGUUUGGCUUUGGAAUAUCCUUUUCUUUGCAUCUGGUUUACUUUUCCCAAACAGAUUUGGCCCAAAAAAUAAAUUAAAAAAAAAAAAAAGCACAUUGGACUGGUGGGGGAAGGAACUGAGAUGGAGAGGUCAGAGAGGCAGCCUGAAAUGUGCCAGGAAGUUCCCGAGAUUUAGCAUCUGGGGCUUGAAUCACUGACACAUUUAAUCCACAUGUGGACAGCCAGGGUUGGCUGUAAGGGUUCCUUCCCACAGACCUGCGAUGCCCAGGAAAGAAUGGUUCAGACCUGGUCUGCAGGGAGGGAGGAAGGAAGAGGAAUGACUUGGCGAACACUCAAAAGAAAGACUUCACUCCUUUGCCUGCCAUUCAGGGCUCCUCACGUUCUGGCUCCUGAUUCCAGCCUCAAGCCCUGCUCUCCAUCACUUCAGGUAACAAACACACUGGAUUCUUUGCCUAACAAUAAACAUGCCAAGGAGGAACCUGCCUGUUAGUCUCGCUGACUGUGCCCUCUGCCUGCUCUCAAAUCCUGCACAUCUUUAAGGGCUGGGUUGGAAACGUUACCAAACUCCCUGCAUAAGCUUUUCAGAACUCUUCCUCUCUGGCCUGAAAGAAUUUAAAAAAUAAAAUAAAAUAAAACAGAACAACAGCACUUAACACAUCCUGAAUUCGUUGAGGGCAGGGUUCCAUGCCCUCUUCCUCCAGAAUCUAGCAUAUAGCCUGGAAUAUUCCUUCACAGAAACUCCUUCAUUCUCUGUUCUCUUACACAACACUUCAUGUCCACUAUUUUUUUAAAAACUCCUUUUUACUUUCUAAUGUACUCUACACAUGUAUCUUCAUUUUGCCUAUUUUCUAGGGCAGGAAUUUUUUUGUUCACUGCUGUACCCCAUUGCUUAGAACUGUGCUUGAAACAUAGUAGGUGCUCAAUAGAGAAGUGUGGAAUAAAUGAAAUAAAUACAAUGUGCAGUCAAAA